rnacentral:tRNA from 1 species
GGCUACGUAGCUCAGCUGGUUAGAGCACAGUCACUCAUAAUGCUGGGGUCACAGGUUCGAUUCCCGUCGUAGCCACCA